UACGUAGGGUGCUAGCGUUGUCCGGAUUUACUGGGCGUAAAGAGCUCGUAGGUGGUUUGUCGCGUUGUUCGUGAAAACUCACGGCUUAACUGUGAGCGUGCGGGCGAUACGGGCAGACUGGAGUACUGCAGGGGAGACUGGAAUUCCUGGUGUAGCGGUGAAAUGCGCAGAUAUCAGGAGGAACACCGGUGGCGAAGGCGGGUCUCUGGGCCGAUAUUGACGCUGAGGAGCGAAAGCGUGGGGAGCAAACAGG
rnacentral:rRNA from 1 species